AGUGAACGCUGGCGGUAGGCCUAACACAUGCAAGUCGAACGGCAGCACAGUAAGAGCUUGCUCUUACGGGUGGCGAGUGGAGGACGGGUGAGGAAUACAUCGGAAUCUACUUUUUCGUGGGGGAUAACGUAGGGAAACUUACGCUAAUACCGCAUACGACCUACGGGUGAAAGCAGGGGAUCUUCGGACCUUGCGCGAUUGAAUGAGCCGAUGUCGGAUUAGCUAGUUGGCGGGGUAAAGGCCCACCAAGGCGACGAUCCGUAGCUGGUCUGAGAGGAUGAUCAGCGACACUGGAACUGAGACACGGUCCAGACUCCUACGGGAGGCAGCAGUGGGGAAUAUUGGACAAUGGGCGCAAGCCUGAUCCAGCCAUACCGCGUGGGUGAAGAAGGCCUUCGGGUUGUAAAGCCCUUUUGUUGGGAAAGAAAAGCAGCAGGUUAAUACCCCGCUGUUCUGACGGUACCCAAAGAAUAAGCACCGGCUAACUUCGUG
rnacentral:rRNA from 1 species